rnacentral:lncRNA from 1 species
GACAGACAAAGGCUGGGAGCUGGAAACUUCUGAAGGCUCAUUCACUUGCAUGUCUGUCAUGAAGCUUCAGGGCAGCUCCAGCUGAUGCCAGCAGCCCCCAGAGCUAUCUAACCACAGGAGCUUGAAUGACACACCUACCUCUCAAGAUUAUAGAGUCUGCCUCAAAAGCCACCACUAUGCCAGCUUCCUGUGUGGGUCUAUAGACCCCUUGGGAGAUCUACAUGAUAGUGCCUGAACGGAGACUGAGCAUUAGAAUGCAUCUUAAUUUCAAGCACAUCAGCUCCACUGCCAAUAUGGAUUCAGUGAUCCAAAGUGUUUAAAUCCAAGUCUGGGGUGCAAGUUGAUGCUCUUAAGUGGCUGUUGUGGACCUGGGGUUCCUGUGACAGUAAACUUGGGCUUGAGAAAGGAUCCAAAGAGUGCCUGGGCCUCAAGAAGACACUACCAAGGAAUGAAUGGCCCUCACUGAACUCCUGUGACAUAAUAAGAUAUCUUCACCAUUGAAUAAGGGAUUUUCCUUGAAAAUAUUAUGCUAAUUGAAAGAAACCAAAUUGUAGAAGGUCACAUAUUAUAUGAUUUCAUUUAUAUGAAAUGUCCAGAAUAGGCAAAUCUAUAGAGACAGAAAGUAGAUUCAUUCUUAUCAGAGGCUGAGGGGUAAGGUGGGGAAAUGGCUUUGACUGCUAGUGGGUGUAAGGUUUCUUUUGUGGGGAGAUGAAAAUGUUCUAGAAUUUGAGAUUGGUGAUGGAUGCAUGAUUUUAUCAAUGUACUAAAAGCCAUUGACUUGCACACAUUAAAUUAGUAAAUGGUAUGGUACAUAAAUUACAACUCAAUAAAGCUGUUUAAAAAAAAUACGGCAUUCUGUCUACUAAAAUAAAACAAAAGAAAUAAGUAAAACCAGACUUUCACAGUCAACAAGUCUGUCAUCAGAUAAUGCUGAUUAAUAGUAAAACUGUAAUACACUCUCCCUCUGAAGUUGGAGUGGGCUCUGCUGAAAAUAGAAAUCUCAGGCAUAUGAAGAGGUUGGUGUCAGUCUGUUCUUCGUGGAAUACAUUUAAUGAGAAUCUUUUGCUUCUUUCUCUAAAGAAAGUAGAACUGAAAGAGGAGGGUGUCAGUUUCUUAGCAGCUUGCAAAGCCCAAAUCAAUAUAAAAAGAGCUUCCAUUUCUCAAGUAUCUUCUAGGUAUUCAGUGAAUACCCAGGGUUAAGGCUAUUUACAUGCAUACUUGCUAAUCCUCACCACAACGCUGCAAGGUAGAUAUUCCUAUCUCUGUUUCAC